rnacentral:rRNA from 1 species
AACGCGAAGAACCUUACCAGGUCUUGACAUCCUCUGACCACCCUAGAGAUAGGGCUUUCCCCUUCGGGGGACAGAGUGACAGGUGGUGCAUGGUUGUCGUCAGCUCGUGUCGUGAGAUGUUGGGUUAAGUCCCGCAACGAGCGCAACCCUUGAUCUUAGUUGCCAGCAUUCAGUUGGGCACUCUAAGGUGACUGCCGGUGACAAACCGGAGGAAGGUGGGGAUGACGUCAAAUCAUCAUGCCCCUUAUGACCUGGGCUACACACGUGCUACAAUGGGUGGUACAAAGGGCAGCGAAACCGCGAGGUCGAGCGAAUCCCAUAAAGCCACUCUCAGUUCGGAUUGCAGGCUGCAACUCGCCUGCAUGAAGCCGGAAUUGCUAGUAAUCGCGGAUCAGCAUGCCGCGGUGAAUACGUUCCCGGGCCUUGUACACACCGCUACAGU